GUCACUAACCCUAUAUACGUACACUCUCGGUGCACCUCCUGUACUGUAGGGGGCAGUGUACCCCCCGUGAGUGUUGUUCCCUGUGAGCCUAAGUCAGGUAUCCCAUGAAGAAGUACGCACCUGUGCGCGAGGCAAUUUCCUCUCUAAAAACACGAAGCACCGGCAGCAGACAGCCCAUAAACAGAUACAGAUGUCCGCAGGCAGACCCGGCAGGCACAGACAGGUCCGGUUUCAUACCGAUGGGCUGUGAGCCGAGGAAGAUAACCGCCUUGGAGGAGAGUUUAUGUUUGAUGAGCCUCUGGUUGUUUUUUCUUUUGCUAGCCUGAUCAACUGUCGAGAGAGAGAGAGAGACGAUUAAGAUGGUGAGCCCAGUCCAGCGACUCCGAGAGAGAGAGAGAGUUGGAGAUGUGGUGUGGCCAGCUGCAGAACCUACCUCGAAGACUCCAGAUCAUCUGAAUCACACAUUCUGAGAGCAGAUAAGACACACACUCCUCACCUACCAGAGUAGUAGUAGUAGUAGUAGUAGUAGUAGUAGUAGUAGUAGAGAUUGAGGAUGAAGUAACGGAAUGGACCUUGAUACAGAACACACACACUUUGGGAUUCCCUUUGCCAAAAUUGAACUUUGUUGAGUCGGAGAGCGCAGCUCGAAUGGACUUUCAUUUUAAUUUUUUAAAUCAUUUUUUGUGACGCCUUAUUUUUGUAAAUGAAAGCACAGCUGAGCUGUUAAUAUUGUUAUUUAUUGUACAGUGAUAUUAAAGUGUCACCCGUUCAAAGUAACCAACACCCACUCCUUUUUGUGAGAAACUCCCUGGUGCAACUCCUAUCGGGCCUAGAGUGAUGUGAUGUCUCCUGAACCUUAAAGUCAGGACCAAAGGUGCUACACCAUGUAGACACAUAAAUUAUACAUCUACUGUACUUGGUAAUCGUGAGGUAAUUGUUUUGCUUGAUUAAAAAAGAACAGUCACCUUGUUAGAUUUUGAGUAUUUGGUUUGUUCACGUCUACUGAACAAAAUGGAGGACUCACUCCAAUAUGAAAGGGUCAUUCUAAGACAAUAAAAAACACAACAAUU